rnacentral:tRNA from 1 species
GGUCUCUUAGCUCAGUUGGUUAGAGCGUGGUGCUAAUAACGCCAAGGUCGCGAGUUCGACCCUCGUAGAGACCA